rnacentral:rRNA from 1 species
CGGUACAGAGGGUUGCCAAGCCGCGAGGUGGAGCCAAUCCCAGAAAGCCGAUCGUAGUCCGGAUUGCAGGCUGCAACUCGCCUGCAUGAAGUCGGAAUCG